rnacentral:rRNA from 1 species
AUACGUAGGGGGCGAGCGUUGUCCGGAAUGAUUGGGCGUAAAGGGCGCGUAGGCGGCUUUGCAAGUCAGUAGUGGAAGUCCAUUUUUCAAGGAUGGAAGUGCUACAGAAACUGCGGAGCUUGGGUGCAGGAGAGGUUAUCGGAAUUCCCGGUGUAGCGGUGAAAUGCGUAGAGAUCGGGAGGAACACCAGUGGCGAAGGCGGGUAACUGGACUGCAACUGACGCUGAGGCGCGAAAGUGUGGGGAGCAAACAGGAUUAGAUACCCUGGUAGUCCACACUGUAAACGAUGAAUGCUAGGUGUAGGAGGUAUCGACCCCUUCUGUGCCGCAGUAAACACAGUAAGCAUUCCGCCUGGGGAGUACGGUCGCAAGAUUAAAACUCAAAGGAAUUGACGGGG